GGGCUCGUAGCUUAGCCAGGUUGAGCGAUCGGCUCUUAACCGAUAGGCCGAGGGUUCGAAUCCCUCCGAGCCCGCCA
rnacentral:tRNA from 1 species